CUUGUCUGUCCCUUGUCCCAGUCUCCCAUUUGGUCCCCUAGGGGAGUGUCCGCCAGGUGGGAGACCUGCAUAAAAGCCGGGCAGGUAGCCCUCAUUAAACAGACCACUGCUUGACCCUCAACACGGAGCCUUGUCUCGUUCUUGGGGGGAUUUACUGAAUGCUGAUAGAGACUGAUUGCUAGGAGUGUAAGCCGCUUGGAUGCUUUUCCUAUUCGUCUGCUUACAGCAAUUCGUAUGGUUCCUGUUCGUGUAUUUGGAGUGCUAUAUUGGAUGCCGUUCGGGAGUUUGGAGUAUUCACUUAUUGGCGGUUCGUGUGUUUGGUGUUCUGCAGUAGCUGUGCCUGCAUCUCCGGAAAGGGGGCCGAUCGCCUACACGUUUUUUUCCCCUUUUGUGCAAAACGGUCCGUUACAGUCGUCUUUCAGCCUUUCUUACCUUGGCCAUGUCUCUGAGUAUUGCACACCUUGU